CAGGAGCAAAACACAAAGAAAAAUCAUAAGCGUGUCGUGGUUAUAUAUGUGAUAUAAAAUCAUGUUAAUUUACAUAAACUUUAGCUUUGAUUUUCUCGGUUUAGACAAAGUUUAUUUUAAAAAUUACUUCGCCAAUCAACUCGUAUAAGCUGAGUCGUUUUUUAAGCCAUUUAAAGCACUUGUAGUCGUGUUUUAUCACAUAUAAAACACUCCGCUACGCGUCGUGUUUUAUAUGUGAUAAAACACUCCUACGCGUGCUUUAAAUAGUAC